rnacentral:lncRNA from 1 species
UUUAAUGUUGAUUCAUAGCGCAUACAACUAAAAAAAAUAUAUACAUAUUUUUAUUUUACUUUUUUCUAUGCAUAUGUAAUGUACGAUAAUAAAUAUUUUAGCUUUUUGAUGAAUGCAUAUAAAUAAAUUAUAUAUGGUGGAGAAUUUUUCUCUUAAAAUAUAUAAACUAUUAAUGAAAAUUUUAUUAACUUUUAUUCGUAUGAGUAAUAUAACAAUAUUUUACCAAAAUUAGUAUUUUAUAUAAUAAAAAUAUAUAAUUAUAUUAAUAAUAUUAUAUUUUAUUAGUUGUGUUAAU